AGGAAUGAUCGAACCAAAACGAAUAAAUAAUAAGUAUACAUGAGCUGCUGCAGUUUAUGACGUGCUGCAGGAAGUUUGAUAACUGGAGCUGAAGGACUUUACCACAGUCUUCUUGACUGGUUGUGAAGCCUCUCAGCUGCUGGUGUUGACAGCCUCUUUAAGGCUGGAUGUUGCUUUACAGAUCUGCCUUUGUUGUCUGUGCUCUGCUGAGUUCUUGACAACAGCUGCAGGUGUUUGCCCAGCUCCUUCUUCUUCUUGACUGAAAUAAAUAGUGGCUGAAGUGAGAGAGGAAAUGCAUGUGUUGUUAAGACACCCCUAAAGUGGAUCAUACCACAUCUAAUCCCACCGCUGGAUGAACUUCCCGCAUCAGUUUUACCGCUAGUUGAUGAGGAACUUUCCCAUAGAGGGAACUAUUCCGGCGGACAAACCAAGCAGCCGGCUACGGCGAUAUAUUAAAGCUGAGCGGAGACCCCUGACCUCCCAUGCCUGAUGGACGCAGGACCCACCCUGCAGGCUUCAGAGCUGAAGGGAUCCGGCAUCCUAAGCAUCAAGAUCAACAGGAAGGGCGAGAGCAUGCAUCCCUCUGCCCAAGGAGCAUAUGUGAUUGGACAGGAUCCCAUUUAUCUGGACCGUUAAGAGACCUGUUGGGUAAAAAAUCCAGAUUCCAGCCUGCAAGAUUUUGCUUGAGACUUUUCUAAAAACUUUCUAAGAUAUACCACUUUGUAUUGAAGCCUGAGAAAAAUAAAUAAAUCAAAAAUUGAGCACCAGAACCUC